rnacentral:rRNA from 1 species
UACAGAGGGGGCAAGCGUUGUUCGGAAUUACUGGGCGUAAAGGGCGCGUAGGCGGCCUGUUAAGUCGAACGUGAAAUCCCCCGGGCUCAACCCGGGAACUGCGUCCGAUACUGGCAGGCUUGAAUCCGGGAGAGGGAUGCGGAAUUCCAGGUGUAGCGGUGAAAUGCGUAGAUAUCUGGAGGAACACCGGUGGCGAAGGCGGCAUCCUGGACCGGCAUUGACGCUGAGGCGCGAAAGCCAGGGGGAGCAAAACGGG